CUUGAAUAAUCCUAGGCCUUGUUGUCCUUGAGCACUAGCCUGCUGUAUUAUGACUAUCGGAUCAAAACUGUCUUUCCUUGCCUUGGUGGAUGCAUCUGGAUUGGCUCAAACUCCAUGCAGUCGAAACCCAAGAGAACUCCAGGUCAAUGGUGUUGGCAAUCGAUCUCCCCUCACCAUGAUCUCCAUUGGAGAGUUUGAUAGUCCAUGAUGCCCCCGACUGACCUUGCAUGGAUCUAAGGUGCAAUUGGCAGAUGCAAUAAACUGCAAGUUGCAUGUCCAACUUCUGCAAGUUCCUUACUCUGCUGCAGGCGAUGCUUAUUUUUAUAUACUCGGACAAGCUUCCUGAUGUUCAUGAGUUGACUAGUUCAUUUUCAAUCGGUGAUGAAGACCGAAGGAUUUAACUUCUUGGAAGCAAUGUGUCCAUCGAUACUGGUUGAUGUUGUGGAUGUUGACUCCGAUCACAGGAACAGUAGCAGCACCAUGGGGAUUCAUUCCACAGACAGUCAACAUACGAACUGGAGACGAUGAUUGUAGUUCUCAAUUAAGAUGAGACUUUUCAGAGACAUUAACUGUUGUAGCAUAGCUGAAAGGUUGGGUAAGUUUCAGCUUCUAGUGCGUGCGUCCUUUUGCCUCUUCUUUUGUGAAAGAAGGGCUUCUUCGUGUCGUUAGAUGCAAUGGCAUGUGGCAAGCUUUUUGGACGAUGUCAUCACCCCGUUUUUUUGUUGUUGUUGUUAUUUAUAGAUAAUGUAUAUUACACAGGCUGUAGAACUUUA